rnacentral:misc_RNA from 1 species
CAGAAUUUCCCCUCCGGGGGCUUUUCUCAACCCAUGUUUACCCCCUUGUGUUUUGGCAGCUUCGGCUGCCAACAUAACUCGUUAUACCUAUUGUCUGAGUAACAUUAUAAUAUUUA